UCGGGAAUUUUGGGCAAUGGGCGAAAGCCUGACCCAGCAACGCCGCGUGAAGGAUGAAGUAUUUCGGUAUGUAAACUUCGAAAGAAUAGGAAGAAUAAAUGACGGUACUAUUUAUAAGGUCCGGCUAACUACGUGCCAGCAGCCGCGGUAAUACGUAGGGACCAAGCGUUGUUCGGAUUUACUGGGCGUAAAGGGCGCGUAGGCGGCUUGACAAGUCACUUGUGAAAUCUCUGGGCUUAACCCAGAACGGCCAAGUGAAACUGUCAUGCUAGAGUGCAGAAGGGGCAAUCGGAAUUCUUGGUGUAGCGGUGAAAUGCGUAGAUAUCAAGAGGAACACCUGAGGUGAAGACGGGUUGCUGGGCUGACACUGACGCUGAGGCGCGAAAGCCAAGGGAGCAAACGGGAUUAGAUACCCGAGUAGUCCCUGAGCGGGCUGGCAAGGCGCAU
rnacentral:rRNA from 1 species